rnacentral:rRNA from 1 species
UGGGGAAUAUUGGACAAUGGGCGCAAGCCUGAUCCAGCCAUGCCGCGUGAGUGAUGAAGGCCCUAGGGUGGUAAAGCUCUUUCACCGGUGAAGAUAAUGACGGUAACCGGAGAAGAAGCCCCGGCGAACUUCGUGCCAGCAGCCGCGGUAAUACGAAGGGGGCUGGCGUUGUUCGGAUUUACUGGGCGUAAAGCGCACGUGGGCGGACUUUUAAGUCAGGGGUGAAAUCCCGGGGCUCAACCCCGGAACUGCCUUUGAUACUGGAAGGCUCGAGUAUGGGAGAGGUGAGUGGAAUUCCGAGUGUAGAGGUGAAAUUCGUAGAUAUUCGGAGGAACACAAGUGGCGAAGGCGGCUCACUGGACCAUUACUGACGCUGAGGUGCGAAAGCGUGGGGAGCAAACAGG